UCGUACAACCGGGGAAGUAGCGGCGCCCUGUACUUGCAAUCCGCUAUAGCAAGGGUCAUGCCCUUUUUGAGGGUUGCUGUGUAUGCGCAAGUGUAUGUUAAGCAGUGUUGAGAGUCGGGUUCUGCGCAAUGCAGACUCGUGAACCUGGUCAGGUGGGGAACCAAGCAGCCAUAAGCGAUGCUUUGUAUGUGCCGCAGAGGGCCUGAUUUGAGUUGAUUAACAUAUAACGUGUAUAUGCUCAAUUCGAUUUUAGGGCGUACGA
rnacentral:SRP_RNA from 1 species